UACGUAGGGUGCGAGCGUUGUCCGGAAUUAUUGGGCGUAAAGAGCUCGUAGGCGGCCUGUCGCGUCGGAUGUGAAAGCCCGGGGCUCAACCCCGGGUCUGCAUUCGAUACGGGCAGGCUAGAGUUCGGUAGGGGAGAUCGGAAUUCCUGGUGUAGCGGUGAAAUGCGCAGAUAUCAGGAGGAACACCGGUGGCGAAGGCGGAUCUCUGGGCCGAUACUGACGCUGAGGAGCGAAAGCGUGGGGAGCGAACAGG
rnacentral:rRNA from 1 species